rnacentral:rRNA from 1 species
UACGGAGAGUGCAAACGUUGUUCGGAUUCACUGGGCGUAAAGGGCACGUAGGCGGCUCGGCAAAUCGGUCGUGGAAUCCCGACGCUUACCGUCGGAACGGCGGCUGAAAAUACCGGGCUCGAGGGCGUGAGGGGUCACUGGAACUCCUGGUGAAGCGGUGAAAUGCGUAGAUAUCAGGAGGAACGCCGGAGGCGAAAGCGAGUGACUGGCGCGUUCCUGACGCUGAGGUGCGAAAGCUAGGGGAGCAAACAGG